CCCUGGGAUUUUCGUGGAACUUCGUGUAGGUGGAAGAUAGCACACAGAAGCACAUUAUUCAGGCGAGCUAAAAUUCUGCUGGACUUAAUUAUAUCCUUUAACUAUUUAUUUGCAAUGCUGUAUAUAAUAAAUGUGCUUAUAAAUGGUCUGUGACUUAGAACAACAACAACAACAACAAACCCAACAACUGCCUCACUUGCAGAAAAAAACUAAAUAGACCUUCUGUCCUGCAGAAGAGGAUUCUUUUUUAAGAAGACUCAGCAGAAGCAUACCUGGAUGAUUGACACUCAGACGUCCUGCAGUUUGCAUCCUUACACUUGGAGUGCUUUGGAGUCCUGCCAAGGUGUGACUGGACUCUCGGGACUGGGAGCAUUUUCCGUGCCAAUGACACUGAGGAGAGAGUGGAGACCACCGAGCUUUGGGGAGUCAACAAACUUUCCUGGCAUAUUUAUUAUUAAGUGGACUUGGAGAGUGAUUUCUUGUCUGAGGAGCCCCCAAUCCGCCCCCUCCUCCGAAAGUUGGAGUCAUUUCAGUGUCCUGAUAUGGGCUGUUGACUGUUCCUGAUGUGGGAGAAAAG
rnacentral:lncRNA from 12 species